rnacentral:pre_miRNA from 1 species
AUCACUUGGAGAUCUUGUUAAACUGCAUAUUCUGAUUUAGUAGCCCUGGGGUAGGGUCUGAAAAUUUGCAUUUCUAACAAGCUUCCAGGUGUUGCUGA